rnacentral:ncRNA from 1 species
UUUCUUCGGGGCGGGGUGAGAUUCCCCACCGGCGGUAUAGCCCGCGAACCGCGCAAGCGGCCGAUUCGGUGAAAUUCCGAAGCCGACGGUUACAGUCCGGAUGAUAGAAGAA